UCAUGUCCAUGUGCCAGUUAAUCUGGAGAGGGAGAUCCGUCUGACAGCAAGUGCCGGGUGACUUCCUUUGACAAGAUGACUCAUGGCUGUUUUUGGAUAAACACAGGACAGUCAGGAUGAUAUGUUUUUGGAAGAGACCACCAGGAUACAGCCAAAUUCCUGCAGAGCAUCGGCCCAUUGUCACCGUCGGACAGACGACAGCGAGGAAAUGCGGAGGAAUGCUGAGUCACCGGGCAAAAGAUCCCCCCGACGAUUGAUUCAUAACCACCGGAAGCGUCUGUGACCUGCAGCUCUUUGUACUUACAGGUACAAGCCGGCAAUCGACCCCUAGGCCCUUACCUAUGGUGAGGUUUCCGUAGCCCAGGGCAGAGAGUCUUCUCAUGUGGUUGUUCAGGAAGUGCUCGGACUCUGACAUCACGCCGUUGCACCACAGGAGGAGGUUUGUAAAGACUGCAUGGAUUACACCAAAUCUGAUGGGACAAGCAGUUGCGCAAAAAAUGUUGAUGACCCAUCCUCUGUUGGCAUGUGACAGUGUUAUGAUAAAGUUUGUGCUGAUGUGCAUGUUUAAUCACUUGUGAGAAAAGACUUCCCUUCAAGUGUUGUUAAAAUGUAAUAUUCACAUACCUCUCAAAUGUUUCAAAGCUCUUGAUGACAUCCUUGAUGUGAAACCACAGAAAAUGCACCUAUUACAGAGGAAAAAAAGACACAAAACGUUGAGGCCAAAGGGUAUGAUCGGAAAUAGAGCUUAUUAAAACACAUUUUGUAAAAUCAACUUAAUAAGUACUUUUAAGUCCAGAGGGAUUUCCUUUGUCAUAUGCAGUUACACUGACAUGAUAACAUGGACAAUGAUGGGAUUAUAUUGUUGCAGCAACUCUGUACUCGGCUCAGAAACAAAGAGCACAUUAUUUACAGACCUACCUGGUUAAGCGGUGCAGAGGGAAAAGACACAGUGUCUAACACUGCUGAAAGAUUAUCACUUUAUUGAAAGUGGUGGUUGUAAACUUGCCUGCCCUAUGGUGUGAGUUGCAUGGAUGACAGGAUAUACUCCGAGCACAGCCGACACACAAGACUGAUAGCCGACAUAAUACCCAAUUCGGAACGCGUCCAUAAUCAGUGAAAGGAGUGCAAGGAGAGUCAAACCACCUAGCGAGAAAAAACAAGAUAUGGAGAUCACGUUUUCGUUCAUUCAUCAAAUCACAAACAAGUUAAUCUGCAAAUUGUUUUAACAAGAGUAUAACUGAUUUGCCCUGUUGCCCUAUUACGCAUUUAAUGCUGAAAUCUUGUGCGUAAUGACACACUCACCCCGUAUCCAGCAUGAGGUGGCGUGCACAUCUUUCUCUGUCCGCGUGUUCUUCUGUCUCUCCCGCAGCAGGAUGUACCACAUCAUCCAGAUCAGCUGGAGGAUCAUGAGGCAGGUGACAAAGGACAGAAAGUGCUCUUCCUUGACGAAGGGGUCGUGGUGCGCAACGGCCAGCAUCAACGCGGCCCCGAUCAGCAGCAGCUGGAGGACGAGGAGGAACUGUGGCAGUACUUGUUCAGACACAUAAUAUCCAGGCCGCUGUGUUCCACCAUGGUGGGAGACGUACAGAAAUCGCAGCACCGAGGGAGCAGGCGAGUCGAAGUCGCGCGCUAUAAGUGCAUUUGAGGUACGUAACCUGUUGCUACGAGGUGUGGAGUCAGACGGAUGAGUACCGUGCCAAACAUGUUCAUCCAAUCUACAAGGUUCGGCUCAGUGGCCACGCAUCGUUUCAGUGUCCGGUUUCGGUGAAGAUGGACUUGGAAUCGAUGAUAUUGUCAUCUCGAAGCCCUGAAACAGAUAUAUGUGGCCGUGCGCCUCGCUGAGUCACUGAAAAUGAGAGAUUGCGUUUCAGGCUUUGGUGAUCUCAGACCCCCGUCCUCUUGAAACCCCCAUAUGUUUCUGAGAAACCACUGGGCUUCCUGUGCCAACCAUUCACCGCACACAGAAGCAAAAACACCAAGUACGGAAUUAUCCACAAUAACAAAAAAAAAAAAAAAAGAGCUGCGCCCAAAUCCACCCUUUUCAGAGCAGCUGCCAGCCAGUCUUUCCAAGUCUGCUGAAAUUCUCUCCGGGUGGCUAUCGGAUGUUAAGGUCUACAUGAUAGAGAAGAUGGCAUUUCACAAACCUGCGAUUUUUACAGACCGGGGGCAAUGACCCUUUCUGAUUUAAUGCGCUUCAAAUCCAAGUGCUACCUCCUUAAACAUGUCCACUUGAGGUUGAGGUAUGAUGGUUAAAAACUUUGCUCUCAGAUUGGGGAGAAAAAACCCCCCAGAAGAAUCGGAUUUCGAUGGUGACAUUCACAAUGGCUUAUUGUGGGUAGAUGUAAUUCAAUAUAAAUAGCCUUGGACUGAUGCACGCCAUCAGCAUGACAACAGAAAGUCUAUUGACACGUGAUUGGUGUGAAGUGAGAUGGGCGGGUGUUUUUGAGGGCCUUACAAUCAAGCACGUUCCUAUAGAGGCACAUGUGGCUCAUUUCAAUUUUAGAAAAUUUACCCAAAUUAAAAGGGACAAAACAUGAGUGUAAUUGAUAGGCUGCAUGCAGCACAGUGGCCGCACAAUAGCUCUUAUUCUGCAGUCCGUCGGGACUCCUGAGGAAGCCUGGUCCUGCAGCUUGGACUCAAGGAAACCUUUUCUUUGUAUAAACCUUGAGAAACUGCUGGAGCAAGGUGACUGAAUAUGUUGGCAAAAACUUAAAGAUUCCAGAACGCUAUUGCCAUUGUGCAAAUGUCCUCUUCAAAUUGGGCCCGUUGUAAAGACUAACAAAGGGAAAUAUAUACAAUUUAUAAUUGAGCAACUAGAAAUGUAGAAAGAGGUAUAAAAUAAAGUUCUCCAUUAAAAUAUUAGUAAACACAAGUCGAGGGAACGAGGGUGCAAAGAAUGAUAAAUAAUAUAAAUUAUCUUGAUACUGUACAGAGCAUUUAAGGUUUAUGAUAAAUAUGAUGGUUAUUACAGUGUGUUAAGGUGACAUUAUAAGAAUGCUGAAUAAAUAUUGCACACGAUGGGAUGGUAAUAAUACAUGCCAACAAUAAGUUCGAAGUAUUAUGUCUUAGGGCCCAUUAGCACAUGAUAUUAUCCGUUUCAAACAACAUAUAUUAGACUGUGAGAAGGUUUUAGAGAAGAUAGGUGAAGAAUUUGUACCGUAGGUGUUGCAGGGCGGACUAAUAAGGGCCGUGCGCCAGGGGCGAUGGUGCGCAUUUACGCACACGAGCGUGCGCUUUGACGGACUGUUUUACAGUGCAACCAUUUCGCUUCACACACUGGGGUUUGUUCUGGCGCCUGUCAUUCAACUUCCCGUCCCCGGACACUAAGCAGUUAUCUUUGCACGACAGCAUCACGAGGACUGAAGAACUGAUCAAGUUAUGCUCCUUAACAGCUCAUCUCGACGCCAUCUGCCGCCGAGCAUUGAUUUCUUGAUCACCGAGAAUCAGCGCGAUAAAGAAAGUAGUCUAACGGCUUGUUGUUAUCAGGGGGACGUUAAUGGGCGACUGAUUAAGUCGGAACAUUUUUGAUUGAAUUUGGAAGCUUCUUAUUACCUUAGAAGAGGCUGAUGGCCAAUCAUUAACGCCCUUACUCACUGUAUGAGCUUUGCUAUCAUCUCUAAAAACAAAGGCUGAGGAACAAUGUGCUACUUUCAUUUCAAGGUAUCACACUACUUUUCAGGGGGAAAAUAGUGACAUUUACUUAAGGAAGAUUUAAAACCGACGUCGUCUAUUGGUGAUGGAGUAUUUGCUAAUAGUCUUGUUAUGUUAAGAAUAUGAACAUUUCAUCCAAAGCUGCAUUAAGUAAAGCAAACAUUGAGAGUCUUCCUGUUUUCCUUUGAAAGGAGAUGCUCUGUCUGAUCACAAUGACUCUGUGGAUGAAAAGGAAAAUUAAGAUUUUGAUGAUGUUGUGCUGUGAUUAGCGCGCACAAUAAGAGUAUGGGUGGAGUGGGAUCUGCUGGACUCCCUUAUUGCACUGUAACACAACAAAAUCAGGUCGAAGAAGUGGUACCACCAGCUGAUGACCAUCGUGACUGUCUGGCUACUCUACAGCCCUGGCAUGAGAAAAGAGGAACAAAUUAUGCUUUAUACAUUAAAGUCGUACAUCGUGGAACGCCUGUGCAAAAGUGGAAAGAAUCUGGAGUGCAAGAAACGGUCGUUCUAGUUCCAAGAUCGCUCUGGAGUAUGAAGGAAAGAGAAGAAGAGUACCCUCUUCACCAAUUCCAGUCCCUGAAGCCAAGUGCCAAACAAAUGAUGUCCACCUCUGUUUGACAACCACCAGCAACUAGGCCUGUAGCGAUAACUACUUUUUCUUGCACAAUAUAUAUGUCCCAGAAUUUUUCUUAUUACGAUAAACAAUAUUAUCUUCCUUUUAAGACCAUGUUUUUGAUAAUGAAUCAUGUGAGCUUGGUUGUUGCGUGUGCAAGUCCUACACGACCCGUGUUGCUGCUGAGAGAAAUGUUAUCCCACACUAAGAAAUCUAUAUUUUAUGGAAAUUUUAUAGACCAUACAAGUGAUUUAUUAAUCAUACGACGAGAACAUAUGAGAGGACAGAACCAGGCAUGACUUUGCUGGACUGUCGUUGACAUUCAUUCAUUAUGUCAACACACGCAUGUAGACAUAAUUGCUGUUAUUUAUGACACUAAAAAUUAUUGAUUUCAUAAUCAUGUAUCAUACGAUAUGUCGAUGAUGUAAUUAACGUGACAGGCCUACCAGCAACUGCAUACUUAAGGUUCAAUACAGAAUAGAACAGUGUGCUUUGUAAAGAAAAGAGAAAAACUGAUCCAAUCAGUGCCCCACAGAAACACACAUUUGCUUGUUUGUUGAUCAUUCCACUUAUUAUAUGCUAUAGAAAACUAUGGUGUUUUAGAACCCAAUAGCACCUUGUUGUCCUGAGGCAACAAACCAAUAUCUGGUGACGGGUCGGGGGGCUUUCUUUCUGCCCCCAAAAGUCAAAAUUCUGAAUUGAUUCAAAUUGUCCUCUUUGUCCCAGAUAAGCUCCUCAUC